UGGCUCAGUUGGUAGAGCAUGGUGUUUGCAACGCUAGUGUUGUGGGUUCGAUUCCCAU
rfam:Salmo salar isolate Sally breed double haploid chromosome ssa06, whole genome shotgun sequence.